GUCUUAGUAAUCAUUUAUCAAUGUUUUCAUAUAUCUACAAAAGCAAUAAAAAUGUCUUAUGACACAGAGCAUAACCGAGAGUCAAGAUGUACGUGUGUGUUUUAAUUUACGUGCUGUUAUUUUUUUAAUGCCAGUUUUCUCUAUUCCUUAUUUCUUUGGAUUAUUAUUCUCUAUUGUUAAUAUUUUAGCAUCCCAUGAUUCUUUCAAUUUUUUUGCCAUUUUUCUCCCUUUAUUCUAUAUUUUUCAGUAAACAUUAUUUAGACCUUCAAAUAUUCCCUCUGUUGCAUUGUUUUACAUGUCUUUAUCUGUAUCUUGCAUAACACUGUAUUUUUUAUGUUUUCAAUAGACAAUCGAAUUACUGUUUGGUGACAUUCAACUCGGCCGAUUCCGUACACUAAUCUAACGAUAGAAGGAGAGUAGCGGAUUUUACCGAGGAUUGCCGAGUGUGUUUGAUGACUGUCACAUGGUAUUACUUUAAGCAUA
rnacentral:lncRNA from 1 species